rnacentral:rRNA from 1 species
AUUGAACGCUGGCGGCAUGCCUUACACAUGCAAGUCGAACGGUAACAGGUCUUCGGAUGCUGACGAGUGGCGAACGGGUGAGUAAUACAUCGGAACGUGCCUAGUAGUGGGGGAUAACUACUCGAAAGAGUGGCUAACACCGCAUGAGAUCUACGGAUGAAAGCAGGGGAUCGCAAGACCUUGUGCUACUAGAGCGGCCGAUGGCAGAUUAGGUAGUUGGUGGGAUAAAAGCUUACCAAGCCGACGAUCUGUAGCUGGUCUGAGAGGACGAUCAGCCACACUGGGACUGAGACACGGCCCAGACUCCUACGGGAGGCAGCAGUGGGGAAUUUUGGACAGUGGGCGCAAGCCUGAUCCAGCAAUGCCGCGUGCAGGAUGAAGGCCUUCGGGUUGUAAACUGCUUUUGUACGGAACGAAAAGCCCUGGGUUAAUACCCUGGGGUCAUGACGGUACCGUAAGAAUAAGCACCGGCUAACUACGUGCCAGCCGCCGCCGUAA